CAGGCAUGUGUUUGAGGUUCUGGCAAGGAAAGGGUGCACUGCAACCAUGCCUGCCCUUGGCCCCUCCCUCUGGAAUCUCUUUGUGUUGGACCCCACCCCCUUGUGAAGUUUUCCUUCUGCCUAUCUUGAAGAGACAGUUUUAUCUCUUACAAGCGUAGCAGGAACAACAUCCUUCAAUGGAGUGCUUUGGAUUGGUUAAGGAGAACAAUUUAUACGUGACGGUGGAUAACGAACUGAUGUCGGAACCCGCGAGUUCUUGGCCUGUGAUUGGAAAAGAACCCAAAACUCCGCUCUUUGCCCCACUCUGCUCUUGUGUACAAAUCGCUAGGCAGUUCUGCCUUCCCUCCGCACCCAGGCCAGCUUGACUCGUGUAAUCCCUUGAAGAGGGGGCGAAGCGUGGCACAUCCUUGCGACACUGCUGCUAGGAAGAGAACUAGGAGAACACCCAACUGCAAAGCUCUCAGACAACUUAAGCUGUUUGUAGCAGGGUGCUGGUGCAAAAGCACCUAAUUAGCCCCUGUCCAGUCAGCUUCAAACAGGGGACGCAGAUUGGGGCUCAUGGAAAAGGCCUGAUGCCGGCUUGAGGAUUGGCAACACCGGCUAGCCUGACAAGCCAAGGACUAUAAAGGCUGGGAGGGAGCUGGGAGGUGGGGGGCAGCCAGGGAGAAGUUAGUCAGGGAGAGAACUGGAGGCCUCCGAGCUGAAGGCUGCCUCUGCCUGUGAAGGAGGUGACUAAUUCUGUAAAGAUUGUGUAUAGAUAGACGCUGAUGGUGGGAUAAUCUUAAAUAAAUAAAGA